GUGCCUUCGGGAACCGUGAGACAGGUGCUGCAUGGCUGUCGUCAGCUCGUGUUGUGAAAUGUUGGGUUAAGUCCCGCAACGAGCGCAACCCUUAUCCUUUGUUGCCAGCGAGUAAUGUCGGGAACUCAAAGGAGACUGCCGGUGAUAAACCGGAGGAAGGUGGGGAUGACGUCAAGUCAUCAUGGCCCUUACGGCCAGGGCUACACACGUGCUACAAUGGCGCAUACAAAGAGAAGCGACCUCGCGAGAGCAAGCGGACCUCAUAAAGUGCGUCGUAGUCCGGAUCGGAGUCUGCAACUCGACUCCGUGAAGUCGGAAUCGCUAGUAAUCGUAGAUCAGAAUGCUACGGUGAAUACGUUCCCGGGCCUUGUACACACCGCCCGUCACACCAUGGGAGUGGGUUGCAAAAGAAGUAGGUAGCUUAACCUUCGGGAGGGCGCUUACCACUUUGUGAUUCAUGACUGGGGUGAAGUCGUAACAAGGUAACCGUAGGG
rnacentral:rRNA from 1 species